rnacentral:rRNA from 1 species
AUUGAACGCUAGCGGGAUGCUUUACACAUGCAAGUAGAACGGAGUGGAGGACGGGUGAGUAAUAUAUCGGAACGUGCCCAGUAGCGGGGGAUAACUCCUCGAAAGAGUGGCUAAUACCGCCUUCUAUUGGUGCGGCCGAUAUCGGAUUAGCGAGUUGGUGGGGUAAAGGCUCACCAAGGCAACGAUCCGUAGCUGGUUUGAGAGGACGACCAGCUGCACUUGGACUGAGGCACGGCCCAGACACCGGCGAGAGGCAGCAGUGGGUAAGUUUAGAGAAGGGGGGAAGCCCUGAUCCAGCGAUCCCGUGUGUAUGAUGAAGGCCUUCGGGUUGUAAAGGACUGUUGGCAGAGUAGCGGUAUCAGCAGAAUAAGCACCGGCUAGCUACGUGCCAGCCGCCGCGGUAAUAC